AAUGCUUAGGAAUCUGCCUAUUAGUGGGGGACAACAUUCCGAAAGGAAUGCUAAUACCGCAUACGCCCUACGGGGGAAAGCAGGGGAUCUUCGGACCUUGCGCUAAUAGAUGAGCCUAGGUCGGAUUAGCUAGUUGGUGAGGUAAUGGCUCACCAAGGCGACGAUCCGUAACUGGUCUGAGAGGAUGAUCAGUCACACUGGAACUGAGACACGGUCCAGACUCCUACGGGAGGCAGCAGUGGGGAAUAUUGGACAAUGGGCGAAAGCCUGAUCCAGCCAUGCCGCGUGUGUGAAGAAGGUCUUCGGAUUGUAAAGCACUUUAAGUUGGGAGGAAGGGUAGUAACCUAAUACGUUGCUACUUUGACGUUACCGACAGAAUAAGCACCGGCUAACUUCGUGCCAGCAGCCGCGGUAAUACGAAGGGUGCAAGCGUUAAUCGGAAUUACUGGGCGUAAAGCGCGCGUAGGUGGUUCAGCAAGUUGGAUGUGAAAGCCCUGGGCUCAACCUGGGAACUGCAUCCAAAACUACUGAGCUAGAGUACGGUAGAGGGUAGCGGAAUUUCCUGUGUAGCGGUGAAAUGCGUAGAUAUAGGAAGG
rnacentral:rRNA from 1 species